rnacentral:rRNA from 1 species
CCAGGCCCUAUGGGGCGCAGCAGGCGAGAAAACUUUGCAAUGUGCGAAAGCACGACAAGGUUAAUCCGAGUGGUUUCUGCUAAAGGAACCUUUUGUCAGUCCUAGAAACACUGAUGAAUAAGGGGUGGGCAAGUUCUGGUGUCAGCCGCCGCGGUAAAACCAGCACCUCAAGUGGUCAGGAUGAUUAUUGGGCCUAAAGCAUCCGUAGCCGGCUCUGUAAGUUUUCGGUUAAAUCUGUACGCUCAACGUACAGGCUGCCGGGAAUACUGCAGAGCUAGGGAGUGGGAGAGGUAGACGGUACUCGGUAGGAAGGGGUAAAAUCCUUUGAUCUAUUGAUGACCACCUGUGGCGAAGGCGGUCUACCAGAACACGUCCGACGGUGAGGGAUGAAAGCUGGGGGAGCAAACCGGAUUAGAUACCCGGGUAGUCCCAGCUGUAAACUAUGCAAACUCAGUGAUGCAUUGGCUUGUGGCCAAUGCAGUGCUGCAGGGAAGCCGUUAAGUUUGCCGCCUGGGAAGUACGUACGCAAGUAUGAAACUUAAAGGAAUUGGCGGGGGAGCACCACAAGGGGUGAAGCCUGCGGUUCAAUUGGAGUCAACGCCAGAAAUCUUACCCGGAGAGACAGCAGAAUGAAGGUCAAGCUGAAGACUUUACCAGACAAGCUGAGAGGUGGUGCAUGGCCGCCGUCAGCUCGUAUCGUGAGACGUCCUGUCAAGUCAGGUAACGAGCGAGACCCUUAUCCUUAGUUGCCAGCGGAUCCCUCUGGGAUGCCGGGCACUCUAAGGAGACCGCUGUCGAUAAGGCAGAGGAAGGAGAGGGCGACGGUAGGUCCGUAUGCCCCGAAUCCCCCGGGCAACACGCGGGCUACAAUGCGCGGGACAGAGGGCUGCGACCCCGAGAGGGGAGGCCGAUCCCUAAACCUGCGCCUAGUUCGGAUCGAGGGCUGCAACUCGCCCUCGUGAAGCUGGAAUCCCUAGUAAUCGCGUGUCACUAUCGCGCGGUGAAUACGUCCCUGCUCCUUGCACACACCGCCCGUCAAGCCAUCCGAGUGGGAUUUGGAUGAGGCUUACUCGACAUGAGUGGGUCAAAUCCGGGUUCUGCAAGGAGGGCUAAGUCGUAACAAGGUAACC